UGUGCAAAUAAUAGCUAUGAUUCACCGAAAGUCUUCGACGAAAGCGUGCAUCUGAUCGCCUUGGCAUAAAUUAUAGCAACGUGGAAAAAGCAUAUAUUAUCCUCGUACAAAGUGUGUUUCACAUGACUGAAAGAAAUUAGGCAAGGCCACUUCAGGUACCUUCGACGUGAAUCCUGCCCGACAAUAUCUGUUAAAGAUCGUCGUUUUGUUGUCCUGUGCUGGCCAACCGGGCCAUUCCGAUCCUGUGUUCCAGAGAAAAUCCACGGUGUGAUUAGUGAGCAUUCUAGAGAUCAAUAGGCGCUCGCUUUGCUGAUCCCUUAAAUCGCCGAUACCAGCCAACAAUACGACAGGACUUGCAUCCACGUUAAAAUGUUGUUCACCUGAGAAAGUCGACUUAUGUAAUACCAAAGGUAAAAUACAAAAUUGAAAAAAUUCACGAAACGACUGAAAUACCAUUGGUAUUCUUUUUGAAGAACUUUUCGCACCAUCCUCGUCUUAACAUGCAUUCGCGAAUCACUCGCGCCCUUCCGUACACCAUAAACGUGUGAUGCGCAGCUAUGGCAUCUUUCACUAUUUGUUUGAUUCGCAUAAAUCGUUCGUGUAACGUCGGUGGAAGUUCUAAACUCGGCUGAACUGUUCCUGUAUGACACAAACGAUGUUAAAGUAUACGUUGGUGAAUGGAGGAUAAAAAAUAGUUUUUGGGUCAUAACCUUGAACUAUAUUCGCAUCUGAUACAAUGUCUAGCGUUGGUUUCGGGUUGUUAUCUAGCGGUUCGUCCACCACAGGUUGUUCUUCAUUCUUGUCCGUUUUAUCCGAGCUGGUCGGCUCCAAAUUCGAUAGCGCCUCAUCGUUUGCUUUCAUGUAGCGCGCUUGCAAAUCUGUAGGUUCGUCUGCACUGAUGCACUCCGUUGGUCUUCAAUUUCGCUUCAUUGCAGUAGAGUUUGUUGAAGGAAGAACGAGCCCGAAGAGGUCAACGUUAUUUUAUCCUGGAUCAGCUUACAAGAUUCGAUAGCAGUUAUUAAAAGUGUCCCCAAAAAAAAAAAAAAAAAAAAAAAAAUAGAUCUUUAACGCAAUAAAAAAUCGUAUUAACACUCUGCACGUUCGAAUUAGAUCUCUUCUAGUACCUGUUGAAUCUUCGACGUUCCAUCAACAUUCUUCUCUCCGAUUCAGAGCAAUCACCUUCGAUUUUUCUAAUUGAUAAUCGCCUGUUCGAAUCUAAACUGUUUAACGGAGGAAUGUCCUCGAUAUUGCACGAUCAGAGACGACAUGCCUCGAACAGAUGCGAGUCAGAGUCACAAGGAAGAAUCAACGAGACGGAAGCAAAACUCCGACUGAACAUCAUCGAACAACAGACUCGAAACGCUGUGUUAAUAAGUUACAUAAUGGAAGUUCUAAGCGGAUAAAAACAGUAAGGAAGGAUAGGAGGGAAUUGUUAGAAUAGGAGGAGCGUACCAGGCACCCCUGCGGAACUUCACGACCAUCGAAUGCAGAUAUGGUGCGAUAUAUGUUGUGGGAAAUCAUAGAAUAUAGUUGUACGACUGCAUUCGUAGAGACUAGGAUACAGUUGUAUGUUGCUGCAAUUCUCACUGGAAUAUUGAAAAGAGUACGAAAUACAGACGAGCUC